CACGUAGGGUGCGAGCGUUGUUCGGAAUUACUGGGCGUAAAGGGCUCGUAGGCGGCCAACUAAGUCAGACGUGAAAUCCCUCGGCUUAACCGGGGAACUGCGUCUGAUACUGGAUGGCUUGAAUUCGGGAGAGGGACGCGGAAUUCCAGGUGUAGCGGUGAAAUGCGUAGAUAUCUGGAGGAACACCGGUGGCGAAGGCGGCAUCCUGGACCGACAUUGACGCUGAUGAGCGAAAGCCAGGGGAGCAAACGGG
rnacentral:rRNA from 1 species